rnacentral:rRNA from 1 species
GUGUCAGCAGCCGCGGUAAGACGAACCGUGCGAACGUUGUUCGGAAUCACUGGGCUUAAAGGGCGCGUAGGCGGUUCAUCAAGUCAGGGGUGAAAUCUUUCGGCUCAACCGGAAAAGUGCCCCUGAUACUGAUGAUCUCGAGGGAGGUAGGGGCCUGUGGAACUUCUGGUGGAGCGGUGAAAUGCGUUGAUAUCAGAAGGAACGCCGGUGGCGAAAGCGACGGGCUGGACCUCUUCUGACGCUGAGGCGCGAAAGCCAGGGGAGCAAACGGGAUUAGAUACCCCUGUAGUCC